UACGGGGGGAGCAAGCGUUGUUCGGAUUUACUGGGCGUAAAGGGCGCGUAGGCGGCCACCGCAAGUCGACUGUGAAAUCUCCGGGCUUAACCCGGAAAGGUCAGCCGAUACUGCGGGGCUAGAGUGCGGAAGGGGCAACUGGAAUUCUCGGUGUAGCGGUGAAAUGCGUAGAUAUCGAGAGGAACACCUGCGGCGAAGGCGGGUUGCUGGGCCGACACUGACGCUGAGGCGCGAAAGCCAGGGGAGCGAACGGG
rnacentral:rRNA from 1 species